rnacentral:miRNA from 2 species
UGAGGUAGUAGGUUAUAUUGUU